rnacentral:sRNA from 1 species
AUGGCUGUCGUCAGCUCGUGUCGUGAGAUGUUGGGUUAAGUCCCGCAACGAGCGCAACCCCUGUUCUUAGUUGCCAGCGCGUAAUGGCGGGGACUCUAGGAAGACUGCCGGUGCCAAACCGGAGGAAGGUGGGGAUGAGGUCAAGUCAUCAUGCCCCUUACGUCCAGGGCUGCACACAUGCUACAAUGGCCGGUACAAAGGGUUGCUACUUCGCGAGAAGACGCCAAUCCCAGAAAGCCGGUCUCAGUUCGGAUUGCAGUCUGCAACUCGACUGCAUGAAGUCGGAGUCGCUAGUAAUCGCAGAUCAGCAUUGCUGCGGUGAAUACGUCCCCGGGCCUUGUACACACCGCCCGUCACACCACGAAAGUUGGUAACACCCGAAGCCGGUGGCCUAACCCUUUGGGAGGGAGCCGUCGAAGGUGGGAUCAGCGAUUGGGGUGAAGUCGUAACAAGGUAGCCGUACCGGAAGGUGCGGCUGGAUCACCUCCUUUCUAAGGAGCACACUGCUCGGUCUCGAGGUUCGUCAUCGAGAUCGGGGAGCUCCCACGUCGAGCACUGGUUAGUUGGCACACGGGUGAUCUCUCGACCCUUGCGUCGAACCUUCGGGUUCGCAAAGCAGGCACCACCGAGAGCCCCGAGUCGCCUGACGUCACUAUUCCGUUUUGAGGGAGUCGCUUGUCGCGUGCAAACGCGGCCGGCCACUUCCCAGGGAAGUGCGGCCCCCCACCUCAUGGAGGUGGGAGUGUGCUGCAUCCCGGUACGAGCUCCCACGAUGCUGGUAAUUGCGUGCAUCGCGGGUAUGCCGUAUCGACCUGCCUCUUGAGAACUGCAGAGCGAGCACGAGCAUCUUUUAUUCAAAGAAGAAAUACUCCCAAGCUACAAAGAGCCAACGGUGGAUGCCUUGGCGCCAGAUACCGAUGAAGGACGUGGACGGCUGCGAUAAGCCACGGUUAGCUGCCUAUCAAGCUUUGAUCCGUGGAUAUCCGAAUGGGGAAACCCGG